rnacentral:sRNA from 1 species
UACAAUAGAAUAGGCUUAUAAGGGCGGUCGGCUAGUCUCCCGGAAGGGAGGUGAUGCCUGUGGAGGUCAAAGACGCAUUAAUGCUAAUGGUAGCGUUCGGUUCAUUGCUAAUUGCACUGAUCGGACUUGUCGUUACAAUUUCAAUUGCGCUUAACCAUAACAAAAAGAAAUAGACCGCCCUGUCCAAAGGUUUCGGUCUAUUUCUAGGUCAUACCUCAUCAGCCUACCGCCCUUAAAAGCGGCUAUUGUGCUGGGGAGUCGUGCUACCAACACGGCU